AACUAGAAACAUACCAUCAAGAAGUUCAAUUGAUAACAUAUGAUAACUUUAUUUACAUUGAGUUCUUAUUCAUUUAAAACAAGCCUUUGCUGCUUCCCUUCGCUAAGGGGUGAUCCCUCUGCAGCAUUUGUGGCUUUCAGUCAUCAAGAGGAAAUUGAGAAAAACCACUCACAUAUUGCAGUAUAAUACCUUUAAACAUGGACUAUGGCCAUAUAAAGGGAAAAAUGUCAGCAUAACAAUCCCACUGUACAUAACAGGCCCAAUUUAUGCUGAAUGUCAGAUGCAACUCCAGCAAGAACCUAAUGAACAUGGUAACUUAACACUACGAGAAGUUGGAAGUGCUGUCCUCAUUAAGCGGUGUGCCCAUGUCAUGCAUCCUCUGAUGAACCAAGGGAUACUCUGUGCACUACCUUGGCUCCCCUUCCCUUCGCCAUGUAAAGUCCUAUGUGAUGGAGCAGCUCCUGGAGACAAAUUGAAAAAUAAAUUUAAAACUUCUAUGGUAUCCAAAAUCGUUAUGUGCAUUUAAGUGUCAACCCAACUAAAUUAAUUUAACUUGCUGAAUGCUAGAUAUCCCAUUCCUAUUCCAAUACAUUGAAGGCAAAAAGUGCACUUCUCUGGAAACAUGAAGAGGAUGGAGGAGGUCAUGGAAUCCAAUGGACCUCUCUUACCCAGAUAACUUUUAUUUUAAAGGAAAAUCUGAAUAAUUUUUUUGAGCAUAUCUUUCUCCAGAUAGCUAAAUAGUCAUUUAUUUAUUAGGUAGAAGGAUCAAUUACGACAUAACAGUAGGACUAGUGUCCCUUAUCAGGGAACAGAUAUAUCGAGAAGAAAACUUAUUAGAUUUAAAACACAAAGCUAGAAUUCUCUUCCUGUACUUUACCAAGGAUAAGCAUUGAUUGUUUUUUCUAAUAACUAACUUAUGAGAUACUAAUUUGUAGGUCAAAGGUUCAUAAUACCUGUGCUAUACUGAGAAUGAGUAUGUAUUAUAAUUUGUAGGUAAAGUGUCCAUAAUACACAGAAAGAAGGCACAGCUCAUCAAUUUACCCGAGUUAUUUAUCAGGACCAUCAGGUGCACAAGUAUAGAUAAUCAGUUAGCUUUUGCUACUGAAUGGAAUUUCUGUAGCAAUUAUGCAAUUGAUCAUUGCCACAAAGCAGUCAGCUUUUUGCAAUACAUGCUAGACCAGCAGCAUUCAAAGAUCUGACAAAGGGUUC
rnacentral:lncRNA from 1 species